GAAAACUAGGUAAUUAAAACCCCCUUGAGUGUUUCUAAUAAGGCUGAAUGGAGUGGAGGUAUUAGGAUCGGUCGCUAGGCUCGCUAAGGGCUGAGAAACACCGCCCUCUAGCGCUCGCUAGGGGGCUCGCUACCAAGUUGUCGCUAGGAUUUUGGUGAAAUGAGAGAGAAAGGGUUGGUGGAACCUCAUUGGUGGAACUCAUUUGACUGGUGGAAUCCCAAUUUUGAUUUAACAAGUUUGAAGUUUGGAGGUUUCUUGAAUCAACGUUUUCUUCUUCUUAAUCCUUCUUUCUGGGGGUUAUAUGGGUUAUAUUCAAAUCCACGAAGUGGGCUUUGGUUUGAUUGUGUGAAGAUGCGAUAUUUAUGGGUGAUUUGAUGAUCUUCAUGUCUGGAAACCAUUGAUUCUUUAGAUCUGUAAUGGGAAUGAGCCUUUGAUUUCCCAAAGAUCUUUCCACCCCAAUUCAUGGUUUUAAUUUCCUUAGACAACACGACAUGGGUACAAACGAGAAGUAACGCCGGUGACGUGGCAUGCCUCAACGGCGUCGUAACGUGGGGAACACCGCCCCCCAACUUGUUGAAUCUCGUUAUGGUGGAUCUUGUGGUAACGAGGACGAGAUAAAACAAGAAUGAUGAUUGGCUAUCUCCUCCAUCAACCAAUCAAAUAAUUUUCUUUAUUUUCUCUCUCUACCUUUUAACAAGAUAUAACAUCUGGAACACCAUUUCCCCCUUGGUGUUAUGGUGAUGUUAUGGAUGAGGUGACACCAAUUUGGUGUUACAUUCCGUUGCCCACACCCAAUGUUCUUAUUCUUGAAACUUUUUUUAGUUUUUAA